CAGCAGACACAUUCCAGCCAAUCAGCAGCAGACCCUCCCUCCCAGACCCUCCCACCUCCUGGACAGCAUCCAUUUUACAUUCAUUGUGAAGCUGCAUUUUUAGUGAGCUGUCCAGGAGGUGGAAGGGUCUGGGAGGGAGGGUCUGCUGCUGAUUGGCUGGAAUGUGUCUGCUG
rnacentral:miRNA from 1 species